AGUGGAGUAGAGUAACGGUAACUCGUUAGGUUCAUAUUCUAAAAAUACUGGUUCAAAUCCAGUCUCCGCUA
rnacentral:tRNA from 1 species